rnacentral:rRNA from 1 species
AUUGAACGCUGGCGGUAUGCUUAACACAUGCAAGUCGAACGGCAGCAUGAUGUGUAGCAAUACACAUUGAUGGCGAGUGGCGGACGGGUGAGAAACGCGUAGGAAUCUGCCUUACAGAGGGGGACAACUAGAGGAAACUCUAGCUAAUACCGCGUAAUGUCUAAGGACUAAAGGCUGGGUAGCAAUACCUGGCGCUGUAAGAGGAGCCUGCGUCCGAUUAGCUAGUUGGUAGGGUAAGAGCCUACCAAGGCGAUGAUCGGUAGCUGGUCUGAGAGGAUGAUCAGCCACACUGGGACUGAGACACGGUCCAGACUCCUACGGGUGGCUG